rnacentral:rRNA from 1 species
GACGAACGCUGGCGGCGUGCCUAACACAUGCAAGUGGAGCGACUAACCGGGGCUUGCCCCUGGGCACAGCCGCGGACGGGUGAGUAACACGUGGGUGACCGGCUCCUAUUACGGGGACAACCCCUCGAAAGGCGGCCUAUUACCGGAUGUUCCCGUUGGGGAAAGUGAAGCUUCUUCCUCCCCAUCGGUAUCAGCCCGCGCCGGAUUAGCUUGUUGGUGGGGUAAUGGCUUACCAAGGCGACGAUGCGUAGCUGGUCUGAGAGGACGAUCAGCCACACUGGGACUGAGACACGGCCCAGACUCCUACGGGAGGCAGCAGUGGGGAAUAUUGCACAAUGGGCGAAAGCGUGAUGCAGCAACGCCGCGUGCGGGAAGAAGGCCUUAGGGUUGUAAACCGCUUUAAGUUGGGAGGAGGGUUAGAUAGUGAAUAGCGGUUUGGAGUGACGGUACCUACAGAAGAAGCGCCGGCUAACUACGUG